rnacentral:rRNA from 1 species
GUCCACGCCAUAAACGAUGAGCACUAGGUGUCGCGGGUAUUGACCCCUGCGGUGCCGUAGCUAACGCAUUAAGUGCUCCGCCUGGGGAAUACGGCCGCAAGGUUAAAACUCAAAGGAAUUGACGGGGGCCCGCACAAGCGGUGGAGCAUGUGGUUCAAUUCGACGCAACGCGCAGAACCUUACCUGGGCUAGACAACGGUAGACACCCCCAGAGAUGGGGUCUUCCCUUCGGGGACUGCCGGUUCAGGUGCUGCAUGGCUGUCGU